rnacentral:rRNA from 1 species
GAGGGAGCUAAUCCGAUAAAGUCGUUCUCAGUUCGGAUUGUAGGCUGCAACUCGCCUACAUGAAGCCGGAAUCGCUAGUAAUCGCGGAUCAGCAUGCCGCGGUGAAUACGUUCCCGGGCCUUGUACACACCGCCCGUCACACCACGAGAGUUUGUAACACCCGAAGUCGGUGAGGUAACCUUUUGGA